rnacentral:tRNA from 1 species
GCCCGAGUGGUGAAAACGGUAAACACGCUAGUCUUAGAAACUAGUCCCGCAGCUAAGGGUUGGGAGUUCAAGUCUCUCCUCGGGCACCA